rnacentral:snRNA from 1 species
GGCUCAUCGCCGGCCUUUUGGCUAUGAUCAUGUAGUAUUCAAUUUUAUCAGUUUAAUAUCUGAUAUGUUCUCCAACGAGGGCUAUAUAUUAAAUGAUUUUUAGCACCGGAGCUGAAAAGAGGGCUUUGCUCCUUUCACUCCACGCAUCGACCUGGCACUGCAGUGCCGCCAGGAACGGUGCACCCUUC